CAGUCGCCGCGGUAAUACGUAGGGUGCAAGCGUUAAUCGGAAUUACUGGGCGUAAAGCGUGCGCAGGCGGUUUUGUAAGACAGAGGUGAAAUCCCCGGGCUCAACCUGGGAACUGCCUUUGUGACUGCAAGGCUAGAGUACGGCAGAGGGGGAUGGAAUUCCGCGUGUAGCAGUGAAAUGCGUAGAUAUGCGGAGGAACACCGAUGGCGAAGGCAAUCCCCUGGGCCUGUACUGACGCUCAUGCACGAAAGCGUGGGGAGCAAACAGGAUUAGAUACCCGUGUAGUCCCUGUCUCUUAUAC
rnacentral:rRNA from 1 species